UACGUAGGUGGCAAGCGUUGUCCGGAAUCACUGGGCGUAAAGGGCGCGUAGGCUGUUUAUUAAGUCAGAUGUGAAAUAUGCAGGCUCAACCUGGAGGGUGCAUCUGAUACUGGUAGACUUGAGUGCAGGAGAGGGUAGUGGAAUUCCUAGUGUAGCGGUGAAAUGCGUAGAUAUUAGGAGGAACACCAGUGGCGAAGGCGGCUACCUGGACUGUAACUGACGCUGAGGCGCGAAAGCGUGGGGAGCAAACAGGAUUAGAUACCCUGGUAGUCCACGCCGUAAACGAUGGGUACUAGGUGUAGGAGGUAUCGACCCCUUCUGUGCCGGAGUUAACACAAUAAGUACCCCGCCUGGGGAGUACGGCCGCAAGGUUGAA
rnacentral:rRNA from 1 species